GAAGUCGAUCUAGGGUUUGAUUUAAUAUUUCCUGAGUUAUAAAAUCCCUAAUCGCCGAACCCUUCCUUCUCAAAACCCCUCACGUGGCCGAUUCUCUUCGCGUCGAACCACCACCAAGCUUCUUCUCCCGAGCCCCUUGUGACAUCGCCGGCUUCAUCCUUCCCCUCUCCCUUGUUCCCAAGCCCUCACCCUCACCGGCCUUCUUUCUCUCACGCAAGCACCAGUCGGUUGCCCUCUUGCGACUGCCUCACCAAAACCGUCGAGCCACAGCCGCCGGUCUUCUUCCAUCCUCGCGCGCGAUCACCACAGCAGCCGGGUUCUCCUCCUCACGCGGACACCACAGCCGUCGCAACCACCAUCAUUGAUCCUCUUCCCUCAAUUGAAGUCACAGCCGCCGAUCCUUUCCUCUCCGAGUCAUGCCCUAACUGAUCCGGCAGGUAACAGUAGAUGAUUGAGAAGUUGCUUGGAGAGUCCCAGCUGUCAGUCCCACAUCACACUCAAGGACAGUCCCUUUUCGGUUUUACUUCUGUUUAGUGGCAUCAAAGGAUCUUGGAUUUGGAUCUAUUCGAACCGAAUUUGUGUUCGAAUCGGAGUUUAGAUGAGAAGAUCAAGUUAUGGAGCAUUAUGGAUCGUUCAUCGAAGAUUGGACAGAUCUGAAUCAUCCAGUGAAGAUCUGGUCAAUCCGACCUAAGGGAGAGUAGAUCCAGACCCUAGAUCAAGAUCAGCACCUUCGGAUCAGAUUUUUAGAGACUUUUCACCAUUGAUCAAGCUCCAAAUCAAUCACAGCCGUCCAUUCAGAUCUAGAUCAGAUUCAAAAGAGAAGCUACAGUGCUUCGUGUGCUUCGUCGACUCCUUCGUGUAGUCUUGCGUUGUGCGAGUGCCACCGAUGGUUUCCAACCCCGUUCUUUCUCCGACCAACUCUUCCGACGACAUCUUCAUUGUAGAGCUUCACGACAUCAUCAUCCCGAUCAUCUGGAUCCAUCGGAGGGUGUUCCCUCUGGCGGAAUUCUUCUCUCGACAAGCCCCUCUGUUCACCUCAGAUUUGGAGGUGUUCCUCCAAAUCUGAGCUCCGAUUCCCAUCAGCAACGUUCGGCGGUGGUCCUCCGGCGUCACUAAGCUUCAUCCAACCACAAUCCACAAUCCGUAGCUUCUCUUCCAGAUUCAAAGGUCAAGGUUUGCAGAAAUCUAGAUUUUCAUCACUUGAGUGGGUUUAGGGGUGUUCUAGCUCGUCGGAGGUGGUCCGCCUGCGUUGUUCAGCAUACCUUGAACUGAGAAGCAGCUGAGAUGCUUCAUUGAGCUCCAGAGUUGGGUGUUCUCGACUUCGACACUCUUGUGUGACGGCAAGAGUGUGUUGCUUGAUAGAUUGAUUGUGAAAAUGGAUUGGUUUACCAUUUUAGUUCCUUUUAUUCUUGUUUUGUAGCUUGGCACAGAUUUAUUUUGAUGUUGUUAUGUUUUUAGUAGUAGUUUAGCAUUUCAUCACCUUGUUAAAGCUUAGUUUAAGUCUUAUUUGGUGCUCAUUUAAUUGUUAGGUUGUUAAGUUCAAGCUAGGGUUUUAAUUGGUGCUAUAGAUCAGAUUUAAUUGUAUUUCAUUAUUUCAUAUUUCGUUUAAGUGUGUUGAUGGUUUAAUUAUAAUGUAGGGUGACAAUGCAUUAUGGUUUGAUUAUUGGCACAUAGUUAGGUUUCACUCUUGCUUUAGAUUAAUUUCUUUAUUGCUGUGCUUCACUUUUGUUAGACUUAGAUUCAAGUUUAAACCCCCAUUUUCAUGUUAAAAACCCAAAAAAUAGGAAUAAAAUAAAAUCCUAGAUUACAUCCUACUGUUGGUUCCUCAAGGUUCGAUCCUGGGCUCGUUAUUACAACAUUAUUGUGAAAUUAAGGGGUUCAGUGUAUAUUCAUUAUUAAUAUGAUAAGCCCAUUCAUGACAAUUUAAUAUAUAUUUAGGCUAUUAUCAAAUUUUGACGUCGUUGCCGGGGAAACUUGUAGCGGUGUUUUUAGGAUUGUUGUUUGAUUGCUUUCAUGAUUAUAUAUCCAUGUGUUUGAUUUUAUUUGUUCUUGAGUCUUCUAAUUUUAUU